CCUACGGGGGGCAGCAGUGGGGAAUAUUGCACAAUGGGGGAAACCCUGAUGCAGCGACGCCGCGUGAGUGAAGAAGUAUUUCGGUAUGUAAAGCUCUAUCAGCAGGGAAGAAAUGACGGUACCUUAUCAAGAAGCCCCGGCUAACUACCUGCCAGGAGCCGCGGUAAUACGUAGGGGGCAAGCGUUAUCCGGAUUUACUGGGUGUAAAGGGAGCGUAGACGGCAGCGCAAGUCUGAAGUGAAAUGCCGGGGCUCAACCCCGGGACUGCAUUGGAAACUGUGCAGCUAGAGUGCAGGAGAGGUAAGUGGAAUUCCUAGUGUAGCGGUGAAAUGCGUAGAUAUUAGGAGGAACACCAGUGGCGAAGGCGGCUUACUGGACUGUAACUGACGUUGAGGCUCGAAAGCGUGGGGAGCAAACAGGAUUAGAUACCCGUGUAGUC
rnacentral:rRNA from 1 species